rnacentral:rRNA from 1 species
GAGUUUGAUCCUGGCUCAGGAUGAACGCUGGCGGCGUGCCUAAUACAUGCAAGUCGAGCGAACGGACGAGAAGCUUGCUUCUCUGAUGUUAGCGGCGGACGGGUGAGUAACACGUGGAUAACCUACCUAUAAGACUGGGAUAACUUCGGGAAACCGGAGCUAAUACCGGAUAAUAUUUUGAACCGCAUGGUUCAAAAGUGAAAGACGGUCUUGCUGUCACUUAUAGAUGGAUCCGCGCUGCAUUAGCUAGUUGGUAAGGUAACGGCUUACCAAGGCAACGAUGCAUAGCCGACCUGAGAGGGUGAUCGGCCACACUGGAACUGAGACACGGUCCAGACUCCUACGGGAGGCAGCAGUAGGGAAUCUUCCGCAAUGGGCGAAAGCCUGACGGAGCAACGCCGCGUGAGUGAUGAAGGUCUUCGGAUCGUAAAACUCUGUUAUUAGGGAAGAACAUAUGUGUAAGUAACUGUGCACAUC